GCGGUUCUGUGGCUGUCAGAACCACCGCUGAGGCUCCUGUUCUUUGGUUCAGACGGUAUUCUUUAGUUAUAGAUUAAGUUAUCAGAGCCACAUGUUGCGCGUGAGGGUUGUCCUUGCUGCUGCGAGAGUGAACAAAGCUGUGAUGUAAGCUGCCGGUAAAUUCGGGUCGAUUGAGAGUUCCGGUGACGCGUUUGAGUUAUGGAUUUGCAUUUUGAGGUAGGGGUGCUUUCCAAAAGCUAUAGUUUAUUAUUGGAAUUAUUACAUAUGGGUACUGAUGUGAGGAUGUGUAUUUGGUGAAUGUAUUAGUCCUAUGUAUUGUUUAGUUGUUUUGUAUGAUUAUGGGUGUUUGUUUGACUGGACUGUUGUGUGGUUUUGUGAAACGAAAUGCUUUCGAAGUUGAUUCUUUUAAA